GUGUCAGCAGCCGCGGUAAGACAGAGGUGCCGAGCGUUAGGCGGAAUCACUGGGCUUAAAGCGUGUGUAGGCGGAUCCGUAAGUACCUUGUGAAAUCCCACCGCUCAACGGUGGAACUGCUCGGUAUACUGCGGGUCUUGAGCCAGCUAGGGGCAACCGGAACAAACGGUGGAGCGGUGAAAUGCGUAGAUAUCGUUUGGAACGCCGAUGGUGAAAACAGGUUGCUGGGGCUGUGCUGACGCUGAGACACGAAAGCCAGGGGAGCGAACGGGAUUAGAUACCCCCGUAGUCC
rnacentral:rRNA from 1 species